rnacentral:rRNA from 1 species
AAGUAACGAUAAAGGGGGUGAGAAACCCCCUCGCCGCAAGACUCAGGUUUCCUGAUCAACGCUAAUCGGAUCAGGGUCAGUCGGGUCCUAAGGCUCAGCCGAACGGCGAGGCCGAUGGCAGAACCGGUUAAUAUUCCGGUACUACCCUUUAGGGUGACGUGGAGACGCAGUCGUGACAAUGCCGCCAGCUGACGGAAUAGCUGGUUAAAGGGUGUAGAAUUUGAUUGUGGCAGGCAAAUCCACCACAAGAUUCGAACCUGACAGUAUGGAGCGUCCUUCCGGACAAUCCAAUAGUGCAUGUAAUCAUACUGCCAAGAAAAUCCGCUAAACAUAACCUUCAGGGUACCCGUACCGCAAACGGACACACGUAGUCGGGUUGAAUAUACUAAGGCGCUUGAGUGAUUCACGGUUAAGGAACUAGGCAAAUUAACCCUGUAACUUCGGGAAAAAGGGUCCCUACCCGUUAUCGGGAGGGCGCAGAGAAUCGGUCCAGGCAACUGUUUAACAAAAACACAGGGCUGUGCGAAGUCGAAAGACGCUGUAUACAGCCUGACACCUGCCCGGUGCUGGAAGGUUAAGAGGAGAUGUCAUCGCAAGAGAAGCAUUGAAUUGAAGCCCCAGUAAACGGCGGCCGUAACAAUAACGGUCCUAAGGUAGCGAAAUUCCUUGUCGGGUAAGUUCCGACCUGCACGAAUGGUGUAAUGAUCUGGACACUGUCUCAACCGUGAGCUCAGUGAAAUUGUAGUAUCGGUGAAGAUGCCGAUUACCCGCGAUGGGACGAAAAGACCCCGUGAACCUUUACUAUAGCUUAUCAUUGAAUUUGGGCACGUGAUGUGUAGGAUAGGUCGGAGGCUUUGAAGCAGGCACGCCAGUGUUUGUGGAGCCGCUGUUGAAAUACGACCCUUCAUUUGUUUGAGUUCUAACUCGUGAAACGAGGACACUGAUUGGUGGGUAGUUUGACUGGGGUGGUCGCCUCCAAAAGUGUAACGGAGGCUUCUAAAGGUGCCCUCAGACCGAUUGGUAACCGGUCUCAGAGUGUAAUGGCAUAAGGGCGCUUGACUGGGAGACUAACAAGUCGAGCAGGUAGGAAACUAGAGCAUAGUGAUCCGGUGUUUCCGCAUGGAAGGGACAUCGCUCAAAGGAUAAAAGGUACUCCGGGGAUAACAGGCUGAUCCCUCCCAAGAGCUCAUAUCGACGGAGUGGUUUGGCACCUCGAUGUCGGCUCGUCACAUCCUGGGGCUGGAGAAGGUCCCAAGGGUUGGGCUGUUCGCCCAUUAAAGUGGCACACGAGCUGGGUUCAGAACGUCGUGAGACGGUUCGGUCUCUAUCUAUCGUGGGCGUAUGAAAUUUGCGUGGCUCUGACACUAGUACGAGAGGACCGUGUUGGACAGACCUCUGGUUUACCGGUUGUGCCGCCAGGUGCAUUGCCGGGUAUCUAAGUCUGGAUCGGAUAAGUGCUGAAAGCAUCUAAGUACGAAGCCGGCCACAAGAUUAGAUUUCUCAGGGUCGUUGUAGACUACAACGUUGAUAGGAUGCAGGUGUAAAGAUGGAGACAUCAAAGCCGAGCAUUACUAAUUGCCC